rnacentral:rRNA from 1 species
GCUCAAAUUUGAAAUCUGGCACCUUCGGUGUCCGAGUUGUAAUUUGAAGAAGGUAACUUUGGAGUUGGCUCUUGUCUAUGUUCCUUGGAACAGGACGUCACAGAGGGUGAGAAUCCCGUGCGAUGAGAUGCCCAAUUCUAUGUAAAGUGCUUUCGAAGAGUCGAGUUGUUUGGGAAUGCAGCUCUAAGUGGGUGGUAAAUUCCAUCUAAAGCUAAAUAUUGGCGAGAGACCGAUAGCGAACAAGUACAGUGAUGGAAAGAUGAAAAGAACUUUGAAAAGAGAGUGAAAAAGUACGUGAAAUUGUUGAAAGGGAAGGGCUUGAGAUCAGACUUGGUAUUUUGCGAUCCUUUCCUUCUUGGUUGGGUUCCUCGCAGCUUACUGGGCCAGCAUCGGUUUGGAUGGUAGGAUAAUGACUAAGGAAUGUGGCUCUACUUCGGUGGAGUGUUAUAGCCUUGGUUGAUACUGCCUGUCUAGACCGAGGACUG